AUUGAACGCUGGCGGCAGGCCUAACACAUGAAAGUCGAACGAGUGGCGGACGGGUGAGUAAUGUCUGGGAAAAUGCCUGAUGGAGGGGGAUAACUACUGUAAACGGUAGCUAAUACGGACUACCAUCGGAUGUUCACCGAUGGGAUUCGCUAGUAGGUGGGGUAAAGGCUCACCUAGGCGACGAUCCCUAGCUGUUCGGAGAGGAUGACCAUCCACACUGGAACUUAGACACGGUCCAGACUCCUACGGGAGGCAGCAGUGGGGAAUAUUGCACAAUGGGCGCAAGCCUGAUGCAGCCAUGCCGCGUGUAUGAAGAAGGCCUUCGGGUUGUAAAGUACUUUCAGCGGGGAGGCGUUACCCGCAGAAGAAGCACCGGCUAACUCCGUGCCAGCAGCCGCGGUAAUAC
rnacentral:rRNA from 1 species